rnacentral:rRNA from 1 species
GGACCUAGGGAGUUCAGGUACAGCGAGCUCGCCGCCGCGACGGACAACUUCGUAGAGGAGAGGAAGAUUGGGAGAGGGGGAUUCGGUCCGGUGUACAGAGGCUACUUGACUGGUCACGACCGUCAUGUGGCCAUCAAGAUGCUCUCAGAGGAUCAAUCUGUGCAGGGCCGCCUGAAGGAGUUUCAGGCAGAGGUCACCAUAAUGAGCCAGCUGAGGCACCGCAACAUCGUCCACCUCGUCAGCUGGUGCGGUCGCCGGAGAGAACUGGCGCCUGUCUACGAGCUCAUGCCCGGAGGCAGCCUCGACACGCACCUCUAUAACCCUGACCGGACGAUAACUUGGUCUGAGAGGUACAAGAUCGCGCUGGGGCUGGGCUCCGCGUUGCGGUACCUCCGCACAGAGUGCGAGCAGUGCGUGGUGCACGGGGACAUCAAGCCUGCAAACGUGAUGCUCGGCGCGUCGCGCAACGCCAAGCUCGGCGACUUCGGGCUGGCGAGGCUCGUCGACCACGGCGCUGAGCCGCAGACGACGCAGGUCGUGGCAGGCACCGUCGGGUACAUUGACCCGGAGUUCGUCAACGGCCGCAGGCCGAGCGCUGAGUCCGACGUGUACAGCUUCGGCGUCAUGCUCCUCGAGAUCGCCUGCGGCAGGCGGCCGGCGUCGAGGGGGCCAGGCCACGCCUCGGCGGCGCUGCUGGCGUCGGUCCGGGAGAUGUACUGCCGGAACCAGAUCCUUGACGCGGCGGACAGUAGGCUCGACGGCGUCUUCGACGGGCUGCAGAUGGAGCGUCUGCUCGUGACAGGGCUUUGGUGCGCGCAGCACGAUCCAGCGCGGCGGCCGUCGGUGACGCAGGCUGUCGAUGUGAUACGAUCUGAGGACGCCAGGUUGCCGGUGCUUUAA